UCCAAAUCUGAACCCGACUAUCAAAUAUGAAUUUGAAUUCAAAUCCGACGGAUUUUAAAAAUUCAUAUCCAAACCCGAACCCGAUCAAAAUCCAAAACCCAAAUGCAAAUCCGAACUCAAAAACCUGAACCCACAACAAUUAUUUCUCCUUACCAUAUUUUCAAAACAUAUUACAUUAAAUCUAUUUUUUUAAAGUUAAAGUUAAAUAUAACAUCGAACAUUUAUAUAUAUAUAUAUAAUUUGGGUUCGGGUCAAGCACAGACAAAAUUCAUAUCCGAAUUCAAAUCCGUCGGAUUUUCAUUUUUUAUGUCCAUAUCCAAAACUAUAUCCAUUUACCAUCAGAUAAAUCCAUUCCCUUCAAAUUCGGGUUCCGGUUCAGGUUUGAAUAAAAUUUUGAGUAUCCGUAACCAUUGACAUCCGUAGCUACGACU
rnacentral:lncRNA from 1 species